rnacentral:rRNA from 1 species
CGAACGCGAAAGUUCCCUUCGGGGAACAAGUAGAGUGGCGCACGGGUGAGUAACACGUAGGUAAUCUACCUUUGGAUUGGGAAUAACCACCGGAAACGGUGGCUAAUACCGAAUAAUGCAGCGGCACCUAAUGGUGACAGUUGUUAAAGCGGGGGAUCGCAAGACCUCGCGUCUGAAGAGGAGCCUGCGGCAGAUUAGCUAGUUGGUAAGGUAACGGCUUACCAAGGCGAUGAUCUGUAGCCGGCCUGAGAGGGCGGUCGGCCACACUGACACUGACAUACGGGUCAGACUCCUACGGGAGGCAGCAGUCGGGAAUUUUGGGCAAUGGGCGAAAGCCUGACCCAGCAACGCCGCGUGAAGGAUGAAAUCCCUCGGGAUGUAAACUUCGCAAGAACGGGAAGAAUAAGCCGGUGCUAACACCAUCGGCGAUGACGGUACUGUUUGUAAGCUCCGGCUAACUCCGUGCCAGCAGCCGCGGUAAUACGGGGGGAGCAAGCGUUGUUCGGAUUUACUGGGCGUAAAGGGCGCGUAGGCGGCCACCGCAAGUCGACUGUGAAAUCUCCGGGCUU